rnacentral:lncRNA from 1 species
CUCUGCCAUGAGAACGGUAUGUCCUAGAUAUGCCACAGAAGCUGCCCUUAACGAGCUGGGAAUUACCAAAUCCACUGAGAGAACAGAAGCAAUGUUUUCCAUUGUACAAUGGAAAUAAAACACUUGGAAUCUGGCCUAAGCAGGUCAAGAUAGCACAAAUAAGUUGCAUGAACAGGUGGUCCAGACACCAAUGUCAUCUAUCUCUGAUGCACGGACAUCUCUCCUUCAACUUACUUCAUGGGGGGUGGGCCCUACAACCAGCUGAUGGGGGAAGAAAAUCUCAGGCCUGGUGCACAGAUGGACUGUUUUGAUAUGUUGAUGAAAGCUGAAAGUAAAUGAGCUAGAAGGCAGUGGGGAAGUGAAAUCCUCCCAGUGGGCAGAACUGUGAGCAGUGCGCUCAAAUCUGCCUUGAAUAGAGGGAGAAAUGAAAUAUACGUGGACUCCCGUGCAGUGAUAAUGGAUUCAUUGACUGAUCAGGGUCCCGGAGGAAGCAAGACUGGAAGAUUGGAGACACAUGGAGGCAAGAGAAUGGACCUAUUGGAGUAAGCACGAAGUGUGUAGAGCUACGCUUCUGACAUGGAGGCCCAGGAGAGCACAGUCCCUCGUUAACCUGGCAGAGAUCUUCUCUCCUCGGCCAGGCUCUUCUCUCAGCUCCCUGUGCUUGUGCAAUGGGUCUGUGGUGGCCCUGGUGUCAGGGAUAGGUGCCGUGAAGAGGCCCAACAACAUGCGCUCCUUCUCACUAAGGCUCCACCACUGCUGAAUGCUCACUGUGUCAGAGGCAGAGACCAACACUGAGCUUUUUAGUGUCACCAUCCCUGGAGUAGACCAUCCAGCCACUUGGCGGCAAGUUGAUGACACCAGACCUCUUCCACCACAAAGGGAGCAGCAAUUUGUCCUUACUAAACUGAAACCUAUCCUGGAUGGGAUGGGCUCUCCCUGCCCACAGCGUCUCUCACAGGCUUACACAAUCCCUGACGCACCAGGGGUCCUCACUGCAGACUUUCAUCACUGCAGACCCGGGCAGUCUACCUUCCCACUAACCAGCUCUAGACUUCAGACAAGCAAAUCUAUCCACGUUGGACAACUCCAAAGCCCAUUUUUUCAUAAAUAUCCAGUGCCCGAUUGGGCUGUCUCUCAGUGACCUGCCAGAGUGGCCUCAUACUGGCUCAACAGAGGCGACUGUUAAAUUUUCAAGAAUUUUGGUAAGCAGUUGUCAAACACAGCCAUUACUAAAAAUUAAACUAUAUAAAACUGAAAUUUAGAAAAGUAUAUUAAAAACAAAGUUGAUAAAUACUCCAAACUUAUCCCUUCCUAAUUAUUUUACUACCCUUAUUAUUUUCUAUGCUCUUAAGGUUAUUUCUGUCCCUGUGAAAGAGUCAGAAGAGUGGCAAGAGAAAGCGGAAGGAGAAGGCUAUCGGCUGCUGUUGGUGACUAGCAUUGCUGUGGUUGUUGCUUUUGUUGCUACUGGAGGACGUAUAGCCCCACAGUGUGUAUCCCGUAGGUUACACACUGGGUGUUAGCAGUUGGUGCCCCACUAGGAGUUCACCCCAAUAGAUUUUGUACAUCACAACCCAAGAAGGCCCAGUCACAAAAGACUCAGAACCCCCAGAAGACAGUUUCUGUUCUGCACUUUUGGCCUUAUCUUUAUUUCCCCUUCCAAAGGCAGCAAUAGUGACACGCAGCCCCUAAGAACCUGCUGGGCUCAUCCAUCGUAGACGGCAGUUGUUUACCUGCCAGCUUGUUCUCUUCUUUGCACUGAAAGAGACUGAGCUCCAGUACAAUCUACCCAACCUGCACUUGUUUCUUCUACUGAUCCACUCAUUCUAAUGGAUAUAAUAGUGGACCACAGAUUUGUGGUAUCGUUGCUUAGCUACUUUUAUUAGUUAACAAUAAGUGUGUUUAAUCUUUCAUUAGACUGUAAAUGUUCUAAGGUUUCCAUGACUAUAAAUGUAGUUAUCACACCAAAUGGUCUCUUUCCCUAGGCUUUUCUUGAAACAUCCUUAACCCUUUGGGUCCACUCAUCUUUGAUCCCUUUUGUAAACCUCCAGGCCUUUGAGGAUAGGCUGAGGUAUAUUCAUUAACUCCUUCCCUUGUUUCUACUAAUUUCAUUUCAACACUCAAGUCCAUUUCAAGCUACGCCUGUUCCAGGAAGCCGCCUCGUCAUCCAGCUCCGCCCUGAGCCAUUCGUGGGAAGCAGGUGCUAAAGGGUGAAGGAAAGUCUCUUGGUCUCUGGUCGGUUCGGUUUGGGCUCAUAUCCCAGGGAUUCAGACUUUUCUUCUUUUGUAGGAGGGAUGCCUUUCCCCUUGGUGGCUGUGGAAUUGAGUAGGCAACUACUUUUAAGGAGAAGUUCACUAAUUUCCAGAAUUAAUAUGUGUCUAAAAGAUAGAAGUAGCAAAAUUCCAAAAUAGAUACAUAAAACAGCAAACAAAAUCAAACCAUCGUAAACUGAAUAUAGCUUUCCGUGAGGGUCGGGAUCGUUGAGCAUUUUCAAUGCCCAAUAGGUCUUUGUCUCCUCUCUAUCUUCCUAUUUUAUUUUUCCACCGAACAUCCGUGGUGGGAGGCACUUGGCAUACAUGGGCUCAUUUUGCUUUUCGAGGAAGGAGAAAGUGAGGCUAGAGAAGCGAGGAGUAGUUUCCCCGAAGUCAAAAAAAUCAAUCCACAGCAGAGUUGGGACUGGACUCUUGAUGUGUCUGAGUCCAAAGGCCAAGCUUUUUGUAAUAUGAAUAACACAUAUUUUUACAAAUAAGAUUCUUAGUACUUCUAAUAAUCCCACCUGAAUUUCCAAAAUCCUCACAAUAUUUUUUUUCUAGAGACGCUACAAAUACUGAGUAGGGAAAAUGAAUUCCUUCAGAGCUGUCUUCCUAUCUUAUUAUUGGAAUUUUACUGCAGUAUCCAUUUCUUGGAGAAAUUUAGGGACUGCAGCCUUCCACUGGGACACCCAGCCUUUGCUCGAGCCCCUGCCUCGCCCGGAUUGGACUGCAGAGGGAGCGGUCAGUCGUCAGUCCCCCUUCACUCUGCAAAGCAGGAGGCUGCAAAUUGUGGCGCCACCCUUCCUUCCGGUUUCCAAAGCGCUUCCUCAAAUGCGGAACGUUUAAGGAGAUGGAAAGAGAGGAGAAGUUGGAAGAGACUAAUUGGACACUCCAGCGAGAAAAGCACCACAGCCACUUGGUGUCGGUGUGGGGAACAGGGCAGCAGCGUGGGGGAGACAGCAGUGUCUGCAAAGGGGCAGUGGUCCCAGGCGGUGGGCUGGUCCGCGCUCAGGAUGCCUACUUUAGUUUCACAACUGCCUCUUACCUCCUGACAUUAUUGUGGGAAAGGUGCUAAAUCUACCUGAACCCCAGUUUUCUCAUCUGUAAGACAGCAAUAAUAAUAUCUGCUGGGCCAAUUUCACACGAUUGUUGCAAGGAUCAAAUACUACGAUAACGGGGGUGAAAGUGCUCUGAAGGGUUAAAGCCUGUGUGUGUGGGGGGGGGGGCACCACCGAUAUCAACAUGGAGGGAAGGGCAUGCAGGGAGGUGACAAAGGUAAUAUCCGACAAAGAGCAAGUGCUUACCCGUGCCAGACAAUGUUUAAGAGCCUGACAUGUACGAAAGCACCUAAAGUAAUGAGAGGGAAGACUCAUAGACCAUCUGCUUUGCCGAGUCACCCCAGAUGAAAGCACUGAUGUACCAUUUUCUUUUUUUUAAAGAUUUUAUUUUUUUCCCAAAACCCCCUGGCACAUAGUUGUGUAUUUUUUUUUUUAGUUGUGGGUUCUUCUAGUUGUGGCAUGUGGGAUGCCCCCUCAGCACGGCUUGAUGAGCAGUGCCAUGUCCACAGCCAGGAUUCGAACUGGCGAAACCCUGGGCCACUGAAGCAGAGCGCGCAAACCUAACCACUCGGCCACGGGGCCAGCCCAUGACGUACCAUUUUUAAUAAAAGAAUAAAACAACCAUCUUUGAGAUGAAUA